rnacentral:lncRNA from 1 species
GUGCCGCAUCAGUUUGAAGUAGGAGACGCAGUCCUGGUGAGGAGACACCGAGUGGGAAACCUAGAACCGAGGUGGAAGGGACCCUACUUGGUGCUACUGACAACGCCCACCGCGAUCAAAGUGGAAGGAAUCCCCACUUGGGUCCACGCAUCCCACGUCAAGAGAGCACCCCCUGGAGUCAGCCAUGAUGAGUGGACUUUGGAGAAGACUACUAAUCCUUUUAAGUUGCGCCUGCUUUGUAGGAGCGAUCCCAAAAGACUUCAACCCCCACAGUCCUGUUCAACAAACGUGGGAGGUACUCAAUGAGGGGGGUAGGGCUGUAUGGACAAUCGCCGAGGUACACCCUCUGUGGACUUGGUGGCCUGAUCUUUUCCCUGACAUCUGUAAGUUGGCUAUAGGAGCCCCUCCUGGAUGGGACUUGGAGGGGUACUCUGACAUUCAGAGGGCACCUUUAACACCCCCUCCGUACGUAGAAAAACAUUCGAGAGACCCAUGGGGUGGUUGCUCUAACCAAAGGGAUAGAAGUAAGCUUCGAACCCAUCCCUUCUAUGUCUGCCCCGGGCCCCACCGAAGUCAGUCCCUCAAUCCAACGUGUGGAGGUAAGGCUGACUUCUUUUGUAAGAGCUGGGGUUGCGAGACUUCAGGUACAGCCCGCUGGAAGCCCUCCUCGAGCUGGGACUAUAUUAGAGUAACAGCCAACUAUUCCCUAGCGUCUUAUGUACCUGGAGGAUUUGACCUAGACGAGUGUACUGACUGGUGCCAUCCGCUCCGUGUCACCUUCACUGAACCAGGGAAGAGAGCUCUGGGAUGGACAAAAGGGUAUACCUGGGGUCUUAGGAUUUACAAGGAAAGAUAUGAUGAGGGAUUAUUGUUCACUAUCAGAUUAAAAAUAGAGACCCCCUACAAUCCUUUAGGCCCCCCAACCAAGUUCACACCCCUCACCCAUACAAUUACUCAGCCUACUCCAGUGAUUGCGGACCCCCUUAAUAUGGCCGCUAUCACCCAACCUCCCACUCCUCAGGUACCUCUAACUAUUACCCCCGCGAUUCCUUCAAGACAGAGGAUGUUUAACCUAGUGAGAGGAGCCUUUUAUGCCCUUAACAGAACUGAUCCAAGCGCUACUGAGGACUGCUGGCUAUGCCUGUCCUUGGGUCCGCCUUAUUAUGAAGGAAUCGCCUUCAAUGGAGAUUUCAACAGAACCAGCAGCCAUACUUCCUGCUCUUGGGGUACAGGACAAAAACUGACCCUGACUGAAGUAUCCGCGAGGAAUCCAGGUCUCUGUAUAGCUGUUACCCCGCGUAUAUUAUCACCCUGCAUCCAGUUUAGAAGAAAGCUAUGCUGGCCGGCGGUCAAAAAGAGAACCAAUUACUUUAACCCUGGCUGCAUUC